UGCCAGCAGCCGCGGUAAUACGGAGGGCGCAAGCGUUACUCGGAAUCACUGGGCGUAAAGAGCGUGUAGGCGGGUUAAUAAGUUGGAUGUGAAAUCCUAUGGCUCAACCAUAGAACUGCAUCCAAAACUGUUAACCUAGAGUAUGGGAGAGGUAGAUGGAAUUUCUGGUGUAGGGGUAAAAUCCGUAGAGAUCAGAAGGAAUACCGAUUGCGAAGGCGAUCUACUGGAACAUUACUGACGCUGAGACGCGAAAGCGUGGGGAGCAAACAGGAUUAGAAACCCCAGUAGUCC
rnacentral:rRNA from 1 species